GAUGAACGCUGGCGGCGUGCCUAAUACAUGCAAGUCGAGCGAACGGACGAGAAGCUUGCUUCUCUGAUGUUAGCGGCGGACGGGUGAGUAACACGUGGAUAACCUACCUAUAAGACUGGGAUAACCUCGGGAAACCGGAGCUAAUACCGGAUGAUAUUUUGAACCGCAUGGUUCAAAAGUGAAAGACGGUCUUGCUGUCACUUAUAGAUGGAUCCGCGCUGCAUUAGCUAGUUGGUAAGGUAACGGCUUACCAAGGCAACGAUGCAUAGCCGACCUGAGAGGGUGAUCGGCCACACUGGAACUGAGACACGGUCCAGACUCCUACGGGAGGCAGCAGUAGGGAAUCUUCCGCAAUGGGCGAAAGCCUGACGGAGCAACGCCGCGUGAGUGAUGAAGGUCUUCGGAUCGUAAAACUCUGUUAUUAGGGAAGAACAUAUGUGUAAGUAACUGUGCACAUCUUGACGGGACCUAAUCAGAAAGCCACGGCUAACUACGU
rnacentral:rRNA from 1 species